rnacentral:lncRNA from 1 species
UGAACAAGAGAUUUUCUUGCCCUGGUCCAACUGGCCCUGAGAAUUUAGCCUUCGCCAGUUAGCCUGGUGUUACUGUACCACAUCUAGUUACUUUCUGAUCAUAUCUGAAAUUCUUCACUUCUUAGUGGACUGAAAUAUUGUGCCUUAUUAACAAAAAUAAGUUGAACAGAGCCAUGCAGGGGUCAAAUUAUUACUAUAUAAGCACUGAUUAGCAUUCCUUAAACUGUGUAAAUCCUUAAAGUCUGAAAGGAUAAUUUUUACAAAUUGCCUUUGCUUUCAUGAACAUAGAACUAACAGACUCGAAGAAACUUAGCUUUUGGAAGGGCCUUGUCCAAAGCCCAUGGAAAUCUCUGAGAAAUACCUGCAUCAUAAAGAUGUAGAGAGUUAUGAUGCUUACUGAGAAAGCACAGUAGUAGAUAAAAGCAGAUGUUUAUACAGUGGAGAUAUAUUUACAAAUACAUGCUGACAGUCAAGUUAAUUCUUCUAUAGUAGUAAACUUAUGCGCAAGAUACUUCAGCUGGUUGUUAUUUAACUUGAGUCUCCAUGUAUCAUACUUAUUAAAAGAAACACAGGGAGAGACAUUAUUUCUUCACAGAUGAAAAUCUGAUGGUUAUGAAUGCCUAAAACAUUGUCUUCUGAAAAAACUUCAGCAAAGAAGUAACGGAGUGACAUGCUGUAGACAAUACAAGUGGCUCCUGCCCUGUCUCACAGUGAAAAUACUUGAAGAAUAUCUUUGGACUGCAUGUUUCCAGCAAGGAGUCUCUGCCUUCUCUCCAUUGAACAUAAACCAGAAACUGACCUGGCUUCCCAGCCCGCAAACAACUUCUGUCAACUCCCAGAUGUUGACACGAGGCACCGAGAGGCACUCAAGCCAAAAGCCCAGAUUCCAAACAUCCCUGAACUCUGGAGAAGUUCAAAUCAGAGCACACAUCUUCAGCGGGAAGGGGAAAGCUGUAACGUGAUCCCAGCCCUGGGCAAUAGAGAUAAGUUCCUUGGAUGACUCACAGAAAAAUGGAAAGCAGCCUAGAUGGAUUUGCUGAGUGCUAUGUUAGUCCACCAAGUGUGCUGGGACAUACCAGCCUCUGCACACAAUGGGAACUGUAUCUUACCCCGAACCUGAAGAGUACUAGGCUGCAGGUCUGGGCCAUCAGACAGGGCAGCUGCUCUCACCAAUAACAUAGGGUUAGAGUUCAAAGCCAGUGUCCAUGGCUGCAGGAGGAUGGGAUGACAACAUCAAGCAUGCCUGAGCACAUGGUGUGCAUUAGGGGGAGAUGCUGUGCGCCUGUGCCCCUCUCCUGAGCCAGAGGAAUAAGCUGCUGGAGGUAUCUGAGCUCCUGUCAGCAACUGUUUUUAUGGCUUUCAUGCCAUCCCACAACACCGCAAAGAGUGAAGGAUAGCUUCCUGGCUCUCACUUCUUAAGUUAAUGAAUCCCACCACUAAUUAGCUGACAGUAACAUGGAGCUAUUCUUGGCCGUAGGUGAAUCUUACUGAGGUCAUAAUGAUUGUGGGUAAUUUAAUUUAUUACUCUGGGAGGCGUUUUGG